GCUGGCGGCACGCCUUAUACAUGCAAGUCGAACGGAGUAGCAAUACUCAGUGGCAGACGGGUGAGUAACAUGUAGGUAUCUUCCCUUUGGUGAGGAAUAACACGAGGAAACUUGUGCUAAUACCUCAUAAGUCUUUACGGAGAAAGCUUUAUGCGCCAAUGGAUGAGCCUGCACUUGAUUAGUUUGUUGGUGGGGUAAUGGCCUACCAAGACUGUGAUCAAUAGCUGAUCUGAGAGGAUGAUCAGCCACAUUGGGACUGAGACACGGCCCAAACUCCUACGGGAGGCAGCAGUAGGGAAUAUUGCACAAUGGAGGAAACUCUGAUGCAGCGAUGCCGCGUGAGUGAAGAAGGCCCUUGGGUUGUAAAGCUCUUUCGUCGGGGAAGAAAAUGACUGUACCCGAAUAAGAAGGUCCGGCUAACUUCGUGCCAGCAGCCGCGGUAAUACGAAGGGACCUAGCGUAGUUCGGAAUUACUGGGCUUAAAGAGUUCGUAGGUGGUUAAAAAAGUUGGUGGUGAAAUCCCAGAGCUUAACUCUGGAACUGCCAUCAAAACUUUUUAGCUAGAGUAUGAUAGAGGAAAGCAGAAUUUCUAGUGUAGAGGUGAAAUUCGUAGAUAUUAGAAAGAAUACCGAUUGCGAAGGCAGCUUUCUGGAUCAUUACUGACACUGAGGAACGAAAGCAUGGGUAGCGAAGAGGAUUAGAUACCCUCGUAGUCCAUGCUGUAAACGAUGUGUGUUAGACGUUGGAAAUUUAUUUUCAGUGUCGCAGCGAAAGCAAUAAACACACCGCCUGGGGAGUAC
rnacentral:rRNA from 1 species